GGAAUGUACCCUCACCCAGUUGUAAAAAAAUUUGGGGACGUGGGGUCUUAAACUCAAGAAAAGCUCUAUUUUUUAAUUUAUCUAGAGAGAGAAAUUAAAAAGCGACCUCUCACUAUGUCAAAAAAGAAAGGAUGGCCGUUCUUAGUUCGUGGAUAUGAUUUGUCUGGUUGAUUCCGAUAACGAGCGAGACUUUUAUGUUAUAUUAAAUAAUAUUAUUUUAAAUUUUAUUUAAUAAUAUUUAUUUUAAUAACAGAUUAAUAGUGUUUAACUAUUUGAGAGAGAGCAAUAACAGGUCUGUGAUGCCCUUAGAUGUCCGGGGCUGCACGCGCGCUACAAUGUAGUGAUCAUUAUGUUCCUGUUUAGAGAUAAAUGGGUAAACAUUUAAAACAUUACGUAACUGGGAGUGAAAAUUGCAAUUAUUUUUCAUGAACGAGGAAUUCCAAGUAAACGUAAGUCAUUAGCUUACAUUGAUUACGUCCCUGCCCUUUGUACACACCGCCCGUCGCUGCCCGGAACUGAGCAAUAUCGAGAGGCAGGAAGAGAUAUAAAAAAUAUUUAUAUUUUUUUAUGUUAAAUCCUUUCAAUCGCUGUUGUUUGAACCGGGCAAAAGUCGUAACAAGGUUUUCGUAGGUGAACCUGCGAAAG
rnacentral:ncRNA from 1 species